rnacentral:tRNA from 2 species
CGGGGUGCUGGCCAGGGUCAGGCGCGCGCGGCGGGUGCGCGUGGUGGCGUCGGCCUGGGGUUCCAGUUCCCGCAGGCUGGC